CGAACGGGUGAGUAACGCGUGAGGAACCUGCCUCAAAGAGGGGGACAACAGUUGGAAACGACUGCUAAUACCGCAUAAGCCCACGGCUCGGCAUCGAGCAGAGGGAAAAGGAGCAAUCCGCUUUGAGAUGGCCUCGCGUCCGAUUAGCUAGUUGGUGAGGUAAUGGCCCACCAAGGCGACGAUCGGUAGCCGGACUGAGAGGUUGAACGGCCACAUUGGGACUGAGACACGGCCCAGACUCCUACGGGAGGCAGCAGUGGGGAAUAUUGCACAAUGGGGGAAACCCUGAUGCGGCGACGCCGCGUGGAGGAAGAAGGUCUUCGGAUUGUAAACUCCUAUUGUUGAGGAAGAUAAUGACGGUACUCAACAAGGAAGUGACGGCUAACUACGUGCCAGCAGCCGCGGUAAAACGUAGGUCACAAGCGUUGUCCGGAAUUACUGGGUGUAAAGGGAGCGCAGGCGGGAGAACAAGUUGGAAGUGAAAUCCAUGGGCUCAACCCAUGAACUGCUUUCAAAACUGUUUUUCUUGAGUAGUGCAGAGGUAGGCGGAAUUCCCGGUGUAGCGGUGGAAUGCGUAGAUAUCGGGAGGAACACCAGUGGCGAAGGCGGCCUGCUGGGCACCAACUGACGCUGAGGCUCGAAAGUGUGGGUA
rnacentral:rRNA from 1 species